UGGGGAAUAUUGGACAAUGGGCGCAAGCCUGAUCCAGCCAUGCCGCGUGAGUGAUGAAGGCCCUAGGGUUGUAAAGCUCUUUUGUGCGGGAAGAUAAUGACGGUACCGCAAGAAUAAGCCCCGGCUAACUUCGUGCCAGCAGCCGCGGUAAUACGAAGGGGGCUAGCGUUGCUCGGAAUCACUGGGCGUAAAGGGUGCGUAGGCGGGUCUUUAANUCAGGGGUGAAAUCCUGGAGCUCAACUCCAGAACUGCCUUUGAUACUGAAGAUCUUGAGUUCGGGAGAGGUGAGUGGAACUGCGAGUGUAGAGGUGAAAUUCGUAGAUAUUCGCAAGAACACCAGUGGCGAAGGCGGCUCACUGGCCCGAUACUGACGCUGAGGCACGAAAGCGUGGGGAGCAAACAGGAUAAGAUACCCUGGUAGUCCACGCCGUAAACGAUGAAUGCCAGCCGUUAGUGGGUUUACUCACUAGUGGCGCAGCUAACGCUUUAAGCAUUCCCCNUUAANGGUACGGUCGCAAGAUUA
rnacentral:rRNA from 1 species